GAAAUGCGAUAAGUAAUGUGAAUUGCAGAAUUCAGUGAAUCAUCGAAUCUUUGAACGCACAUUGCGCCCGCCAGUAUUCUGGCGGGCAUGCCUGUUCGAGCGUCAUUUCAACCAUCAAGCCCCGCGCUUGUGUUGGGGACCUGCGGCUGUCGCAGGCCCUGAAAACCAGUGGCGGGCUCGCUGUCACACCGGGCGUAGUAGAUUUUAUCUCGCUCAGGGCGUGCUGCGGGUUCCGGCCGUUAAAAAGCCUUUUUUACCCAAGGUUGACCUCGGAUCAGGUAGGAAGACCCGCUGAACUUAAGC
rnacentral:misc_RNA from 1 species